ACACUCCUGCGGGAGGCAGCAGUGGGGAAUAUUGGACAAUGGGCGCAAGCCUGAUCCAGCCAUGCCGCGUGAGUGAUGAAGGCCCUAGGGUUGUAAAGCUCUUUCACCGGUGAAGAUAAUGACGGUAACCGGAGAAGAAGCCCCGGCUAACUUCGUGCCAGCAGCCGCGGUAAUACGAAGGGGGCUAGCGUUGUUCGGAUUUACUGGGCGUAAAGCGCACGUAGGCGGACUAUUAAGUCAGGGGUGAAAUCCCGGGGCUCAACCCCGGAACUGCCUUUGAUACUGGUAGUCUUGAGUUCGAGAGAGGGGAGUGGAAUUCCGAGUGUAGAGGUGAAAUUCGUAUAUAUUCGGAGGAACACCAGUGGCGAAGGCGGCUCACUGGCUCGAUACUGACGCUGAGGUGCGAAAGCGUGGGGAGCGAACAGGAUUAGAAACCCCUGUAGUCC
rnacentral:rRNA from 1 species